AUGUCUGCCGGCCUGUGGCAGCUGCUCCUUGCCGUGAGCGCGUUUCUGGCGACGGCGGCGGCGCAGGAGACAGGGGCAGCGCCGAUGGUGCCGGCGCUGUUCGUGUUCGGGGACUCGCUGCUGGACAGCGGCAACAACAACAACCUGGCGUCGCUGGCCAAGGCCAACUACCUCCCCUACGGCAUCGACUUCGCCGCCGGCCCCACCGGCCGCUUCUGCAACGGCUACACCAUCGUCGACGAGCUCGCUGAACUGCUUGGGCUGCCCCUGGUUCCAGCCUACUCCGAGGCCUCCGGCUCCGGCCAGCAGCUCCUCCAAGGCGUCAACUACGCCUCCGCCGCCGCCGGGAUCCUCGACGAAAGCGGUGGAAACUUCGUUGGACGGAUACCGUUCAACCAGCAGAUCCAGAACUUCGAGUUGACCGUCGGCCAGAUCGCCGGCUCGGCGGCUGCCAGCAUCGUCGCUCGGUCCAUCGUGUUCGUGGGAAUGGGGAGCAACGACUACCUGAACAACUACAUCAUGCCCAACUACGAAACCCGGAGGCACUACACGCCGCAGCAGUUCGCCGACCUCCUCGUCACACAAUACGCCUCCCAGCUCACCAGGCUGUACAAGGCCGGGGCGAGGCGGUUCGUGGUGGCCGGGGUGGGGUCGAUGGGGUGCAUCCCGACCAUCCUGGCGAGGAGCGCAGAGGGGCGGUGCUCGGAGGAGGUGGACCAGCUGGUGGCGCCGUUCAACGCCGGGGUGAGGGGGAUGCUGGACGGCCUCAACGCCGGCCUCCCCGGGGCCACCUUCACGUACCUCGACAACCACCGCCUGUUCAAGCUCAUGCUUGCCCACCCUGCCUCCUACGGUAAGAUCGACGGCCGGAGUCCAGGGUCCAGCAGAACUGAGAAUGCGCUUCUUGUAGCAUGCAUGGCAUGGCCAUUCAUGGACGACGGAUGCGUGCGUGCAGGGUUCGACGUGGUGGACCGGGGUUGCUGCGGGAUCGACCGGAACGGCGGGCAGAUGACGUGUCUGCCCUUCAUGCCGCCGUGCGCCGACCGGGAUCGCUACCUCUUCUGGGACGCCUACCACCCCACGGCGGCGGUCAACGUCAUCAUGGCGCGCCAGGCCUUCGACGGCGCCUCCGACGUCGUCUCCCCCGUCAACGUCCGCCGCCUCGCCCAGCUCUGA
rnacentral:rRNA from 1 species